GAGACCCACGCCAACAGUUGCCAGCUCGUCCUCCGGGAUGGAGGGGACACUGUUGGGACCGCCUCUGCUAAAGAGGAGGAAGGAAUGGGCAACGGUAGGUCAGCAUGCCCCGAAUUAUCCGGGCUACACGCGAGCUACAAUGGUUGGUACAAUGGGUAUCUACCCCGAAAGGGGAUGGAAAUCUCCUAAAGCCAAUCUUAGUUCGGAUUGAGGGCUGCAACUCGCCCUCGUGAAGCUGGAAUCCGUAGUAAUCGCGUUUCAACAGAACGCGGUGAAUAC
rnacentral:rRNA from 1 species